UGGGGAAUAUUGCACAAUGGGGGAAACCCUGAUGCAGCAACGCCGCGUGAGUGAAGAAGUAUUUCGGUAUGUAAAGCUCUAUCAGCAGGGAAGAAGAUGACGGUACCUGAGUAAGAAGCCCCGGCUAACUACGUGCCAGCAGCCGCGGUAAUACGUAGGGGGCAAGCGUUAUCCGGAUUUACUGGGUGUAAAGGGAGCGUAGACGGUGAGACAAGUCUGAAGUGAAAGCCCGGGGCUCAACCCCGGGACUGCUUUGGAAACUGCCUGACUGGAGUGCUGGAGAGGCAAGCGGAAUUCCUAGUGUAGCGGUGAAAUGCGUAGAUAUUAGGAAGAACACCAGUGGCGAAGGCGGCUUGCUGGACAGUAACUGACGUUGAGGCUCGAAAGCGUGGGGAGCAAACA
rnacentral:rRNA from 1 species